AGUGACAAUAAGGGAUCAUAGCUUUCACCUGGAUUCACCUGGGACAGAACCGGCCACUGCAACCCACCAGGCCGAUCGGGGAGCCUCUGUGUCACUGCCGCCCUGCCCUGCCACGUCCCUGGCUUCCCUGGCAAACUCUGGAUGCUGGUGGAGACCGGCCUGAUGAAAUCAGAGCGGGAGGUAUGUUGCCAUCGACGAGAUGUUCAUUAAGGAGAUUCUGGAGAUGGCUCCCCCACCGCUGUUUAUCAACAAGAGAAUGCGCCGUAUCUACCGACAGCUUAGCCUGUAUGAUUUCGACCUUCUCUCCCUUCUCUCUCCCCCUCUUCUAGCUUGUCUACUUCCUCAAUCGUUACUUCCAGCGGGGCUGCGUUGAGCUUCUCUCACUGGUAACGCGUCGUGUUGCAGUGAAGUACAAUGAGCUGUCUGUACCUGCCAUCAGAACCACCACCACUACCCCCUGGACCAGCUACGGACUAUCCAGCUACGAUGCCCCGAAGUCGGCCUCAGCCUCUACCCCCCUCUCUCCCAUCCACCACCUACGUACGGAGCCAAUGGAUCCAGUGGAGAUACCCCAGCGAACAACACCCUCUCCCCAGGCUUGGGUCACCGUAGCCAGGCUAGUGAGACUGGAGUGGCCUCUAUGAUGGAUGCCAGCACCAUGACUUCCACAAGCUGUCUAAGUCCAAGCCAACCACCAUCACUUCCACCAUGGGGGGGCGCUGUCAUCCGGUCUCUGCCCACGUUUGGUGAGGAUUCCCGGGCGCAGCUCUGGCUAUCGAUGGCCUCCCCCUGGAUGUCUCACUUCAAGCCGCUCUACAGAAAGUCUAUGAUGGCCCUCUCAGCACCGCAACACAAAAGAGCCGACAUACCUUCCUUUCCCUCCUCUUCCUCCUCCUUCGCUCUCGUCCUCACUCCACUUCUUGCCCUGCGCUAAGUGCAGCUACAUCCAAGGGUCUACAGCACACAAUCUCCCAGCCGGCCCAAAGAGGGGAAACUAGACCAGGGACGCUACUACCUUCAUCGCCCAUCCCGCGUAUACUCUCACAAAGAUACAUAGGCACAUCUAGAUUCCUAAAUUAAGAUCGCCUGCAUUAUAUGUAGCUGUUUCUCUCUUUGUCCAUACAUUGUACACAUUAUACUGCAUCUACCAGCUGCAAUAUUAUGGCUGCAUCUCUCUAUUCUAUUCCCUGUGUGUACACUACUUUCAACCAGAGCCCUAUUGACCCUGUUUAAAAGUACUAUGCUUGUAUUCGUUCAGCCAGCUUUUUUUUAGACUGCACUUCGUUUGCCAACAGGGGGCAGUAGAAUCAUACCAUUACCAAUAACACACACCCACACACAAACACACACACACACACACACUAUUUCAUUACAAGAGCUACUUGUAUAAGUGUUUAUGUUGUGUGAGUUUAGGGGUGCGUCCCAAAAUGGCACCCUAUUCCCUAUAUAGUGCACUACUUUUAACCAGGAACAAUAGGGCUCUUGUCAAAAAUGUGAUAUAAAUUCAAGUCAUUAUAUAGGGCUUCACAAACACACACACACACACACACAUACACACAUACACACAAACAGGUCUGAGUCUGGAGAUGAGCUAAUGUCGAAAGCCACAGGUACACAAACAGAGCCUUGUAGUCUGAGGGUAAAGUGCUUAACCACAACCUCUCUCUCUAUAUAUCUUUCCCUCUCUCUAAAAGAACAGGACAAAGGACAACGUUUCUCCAGACAGAUCAAUAACUGUGUGUAUCUGUGUGUGUGGGUGGUCCCGCAGGACAAAAGAGAGACGUGGAGGAGCCAAACCAAGCACAUUAAGUGUGUGGCCAUCUUGUAAGUUCUGUCUCUGUCCAUACUGGUCUCAUAGACUAGACUUGACAUAGUAAACGUAAAUCCGGGACACUCAAAUGGAUAUGAUAUGUUAAGUUUGGUAUGGUUAAAUAAGACAGAAUGUUACUUAAGGCAAAAACGAAAAUAGGGUGGUUGAUCAUUUUAGCUACUUAGCGACUACUUACUACUUUUUAGCUACUUUGUAACUACUUAGCAUAUUAGCUAACCUUAAC